rnacentral:rRNA from 1 species
AUUGAACGCUGGCGGCAUGCUUUACACAUGCAAGUCGAACGGUAACAGGCCGCAAGGUGCUGACGAGUGGCUAACGGGUGAGUAAUGCAUCGGAACGUGCCCAGCCGUGGGGGAUAACUACUCGAAAGAGUAGCUAAUACCGCAUCCGAUCUAUGGAUGAAAGCGGGGACCGGAAGGCCCCCCGCCAUUUGACCCGCCGUUGUCAGACUAGGUAGUUGGUGGGGUAACGGCCCACCCAGCCCACGAACCGUACCCGGGCUGCGAGGGCGACCCGCCACACUGGGAGUGAGACAGGGCCAAGACGCCUGCGGGAGGCAGCAGUGGGGAAUUGUGGGCAAUGGGGGGAAGCCUGGUACAGCAAUGCGGCGUGGAGGAAGAAGGCCUUCGGGUUGUAAACUGUUCUUGUACGGAACGAAACGGGUCUGGUUGAUACGCGGGGCUAAUGACGGUACCGUAAGAAUAAGCACCGGCUAACUACGUG